CUCAGACAGCCAGGAUGUUGGCUUAGAAGCAGCCAUCAUUUAAAGAAAGCGUAAUAGCUCACUGGUCGAGUCGGCCUGCGCGGAAGAUGUAACGGGGCUAAACUAUGCACCGAAGCUGCGGCAGCGAACGUAUCACUUAAACUGAUUAAGUGAUACUCAAAUGUAUCAAAACGAUUGACGGAGCGAAGCGACGUCAAUGCGUCCAACAAAGUCGAGGCGGAAACGUCAGGCAGUCAGUUUAAGGAUACGUUCGUUGGGUAGGGGAGCGUUCUGUAAGCCUGUGAAGGUGUACUGUGAGGUAUGCUGGAGGUAUCAGAAGUGCGAAUGCUGACAUAAGUAACGAUAAUGCGGGUGAAAAACCCGCACGCCGGAAGACCAAGGGUUCCUGUCCAACGUUAAUCGGGGCAGGGUGAGUCGACCCCUAAGGCGAGGCAGAAAUGCGUAGUCGAUGGGAAACGGGUUAAUAUUCCCGUACUGGUGAUAAUUGCGAUGGGGGGACGGAGAAGGCUAGGCUAUCCGGGCGACGGUUGUCCCGGUUUAAGAAUGUAGGCAGGUGAAUUAGGCAAAUCCGGUUCACUAUAUGCUGAGGUUCGAUGACGAGUCACUACGGUGAUGAAGUAGCUCAUGCCCCGCUUCCAGGAAAAGCCUCUAAGCUCUAGAUUAUCAUUAAUCGUACCCCAAACCGACACAGGUGGUCAGGUAGAGAA
rnacentral:rRNA from 1 species